rnacentral:rRNA from 1 species
AGCAGCCGCGGUAAUUCCAGCUCCAAUAGCGUAUAUUAAAGUUGUUGCAGUUAAAAAGCUCGUAGUUGAAUUUCGGGGUUAGUACGCUGGUCGUGCCUUCGGUAUGUACUGGUGUUACCGAUUCCUACCUUCUGAAGAACCGUCAUGUCAUUAAUUUGGUGUGGCGGGGAAUCAGGACUGUUACUUUGAAAAAUUAGGGUGUUUAAAGCAGGCUCGCGCUUGAAUACAUUAGCAUGGAAUAAUGAAAUAGGACGUUUGAUCCUAUUUUGUUGGUUUCUAGGAUUGACGUAAUGAUUAAUAGGGAUAGUUGGGGGCAUUAGUAUUCAAUUGUCAGAGGUGAAAUUCUUGGAUUUAUUGAAGACUAACUACUGCGAAAGCAUUUGCCAAGGAUGUUUUCAUUAAUCAAGAACGAAAGUUAGGGGAUCGAAGACGAUCAGAUACCGUCGUAGU